rnacentral:rRNA from 1 species
UGGGGAAUAUUGCACAAUGGGCGCAAGCCUGAUGCAGCCAUGCCGCGUGUAUGAAGAAGGCCUUCGGGUUGUAAAGUACUUUCAGUCGGGAGGAAGGUGUCAAGGUUAAUAACCUUGGCAAUUGACGUUACCGACAGAAGAAGCACCGGCUAACUCCGUGCCAGCAGCCGCGGUAAUACGGAGGGUGCAAGCGUUAAUCGGAAUUACUGGGCGUAAAGCGCACGCAGGCGGUUGAUUGAGUCAGAUGUGAAAUCCCCGGGCUUAACCCGGGAAUUGCAUCUGAUACUGGUCAGCUAGAGUCUUGUAGAGGGGGGUAGAAUUCCAUGUGUAGCGGUGCAAUGCGUAGAGAUGUGGAGGAAUACCGGUGGCGAAGGCGGCCCCCUGGACAAAGACUGACGCUCAGGUGCGAAAGCGUGGGGAGCAAACAGG